rnacentral:rRNA from 1 species
UACAGAGGGGGCAAGCGUUGUUUCGGAAUUACUGGGCGUAAAGGGCGCGUAGGCGGCCUUCUAAGUCGAACGUGAAAUCCCCGGGCUCAACCCGGGAACUGCGUCCGAUACUGGAAGGCUUGAAUCCGGAAGAGGGAUGCGGAAUUCCAGGUGUAGCGGUGAAAUGCGUAGAUAUCUGGAGGAACACCGGUGGCGAAGGCGGCAUCCUGGACCGGUAUUGACGCUGAGGCGCGAAAGCCAGGGAGCAAAGCGGG